rnacentral:rRNA from 2 species
UGCAGUCGAGCGGUAGCACAGAGAGCUUGCUCUCGGGUGACGAGCGGCGGACGGGUGAGUAAUGUCUGGGAAACUGCCUGAUGGAGGGGGAUAACUACUGGAAACGGUAGCUAAUACCGCAUAAUGUCGCAAGACCAAAGUGGGGGACCUUCGGGCCUCAUGCCAUCAGAUGUGCCCAGAUGGGAUUAGCUAGUAGGUGGGGUAACGGCUCACCUAGGCGACGAUCCCUAGCUGGUCUGAGAGGAUGACCAGCCACACUGGAACUGAGACACGGUCCAGACUCCUACGGGAGGCAGCAGUGGGGAAUAUUGCACAAUGGGCGCAAGCCUGAUGCAGCCAUGCCGCGUGUGUGAAGAAGGCCUUCGGGUUGUAAAGCACUUUCAGCGGGGAGGAAGGCGUUAAGGUUAAUAACCUUGUCGAUUGACGUUACCCGCAGAAGAAGCACCGGCUAACUCCGUGCCAGCAGCCGCGGUAAUACGGAGGGUGCAAGCGUUAAUCGGAAUUACUGGGCGUAAAGCGCACGCAGGCGGUCUGUCAAGUCGGAUGUG